rnacentral:rRNA from 1 species
AUAAGCCGGAGGAAGGUGGGGAUGACGUCAAGCCUCAUGGCCCGUUACAGGCUGGGCUACACACGUGCUACAAUGGCAUCUACAGUGGGCAGCUAUUCCGCAAGGAUGCGCUAAUCUCCAAAAGAUGUCUCAGUUCGGAUUGUCCUCUGCAACUCGAGGGCAUGAAGGCGGAAUCGCUAGUAAUCGCGGAUCAGCAUGCCGCGGUGAAUACGUUCCCAGGCCUU